CCCUUCUCCGGAGAUCCGGCGCUUGGUGUUACUACGUAUGAGAACCCGCACGGCGCGGGGUAGCCGGCUGGAACCAAGACGGGCGAGCUUCGGCGCUAGGAGGAGUGGCCCCAUGCGAGGCCAGACUGAGCGGAUGGCGGGGAGCGCAGCGGAUCCACCAGGGGAAGGCGCCGGCCGAGAGCGGCCGCCCGGGGACCCCAUCUGUUGGCCAAGGGCCUAGUACUACUUCUUGGCAUUGUGUGGAAGACUUUUCACAUGCUAACUGAGCCUUCAGACAACCCUAUGAGGUCCACCUGCUGCACUGGGAGCUCUUCAAGGGAAUCUGUCUGAUCAACUCUGAGCAUGAGCCCACACAGCAAAACCAGUGGGUAUUUGUUGAAUGAACAAAUAAAUGAAGAAAGAAAGUUAAAAGAAAAGCAAAGCUUGAGGUUGUUAUGGUAGUCUAAUGUCUCUUACACUUGGAAAACUUUGUAUAAAAAUGCAAUAAUUUCUAAAUUAUGGAUAUAAUCUACUUCAUUAUAGAAAAUUUGGAACAUAUAGAAAAGCACAAAUGAGAAAAUAAAAUUAAUCCUUAGGACUAGC